GCUCUGCUCGCUGUGAUAACUAGCGGCCAGGCGGCCCACUCUGUGGCCGAGGUAGAGCACCUCCCCUGUCCUCUCCCUCCUCCCCUCCCACCACUGUCCCCCCCAGUCAGUCCUCAGCCUCCUAACCUCCAGUCGCAUCAGCCCAGGACAGCCACCACCGAUGUGGGAGCCCCAGCAGCCCUCACUCAGGAUGGUCACCCAACUACUACUGCUAACCUCUGUACUCCUCUCCACCUGCCAAGUGGCGGAAUCGCAGGCAUGCCCCCAGACACCAGUCCUCAGCGUCGACAAGCGUGUGUUCAGCAAGGGAGUUGAGGUGACCGUUGGGUGUAAGGCCCCCGAGGAGUCCGGCGCUAUCAUCUUCUAUUUCUACAAGAACUCCAAGGACCUUUGAGGAGAUGGUCAACGCCAACCAUGUGUGUUAAUAUUGGGUGGCGACUAGGCUGUGAUUCAACAACGCUGGCGUCCACAAGCUACACUGUGACUACAGGGUCAUACUGCUGCCAGACUCGGUACAAUCCAAUGCCAGCAACGAUGUGGUUGUCACUGUAAAAGCUUCCAGACCAAUUUUCCUCGUUUUGUCCUCCAGAGCUGUUCAUCACACCUGUAAUCUCUGUCCGACCACACGGACCAAUGAUCAUCGAAGGGGACAAUCUGGACAUCUCCUGCAGUGUCAGUGGUAACCUCCAGAACAGCUCUGGGCUCAAAGUUUACCUGAGCAAGGGACAGAAUCUGCUGAGUACUGGUCAAAGUAAAGCCAACCACAGCAUGAGAGCCCUGGCCGAGCACUCUGGGGAGUUUGAGUGCAGUUUGGAGAUGGGAAAUGUUGUCAAGCGAGCAACGGAAAACGUGACGAUUACAGCUGAGUGAAUGGAUUUAUAAGGAAUCUGAAAUGUAGAAUGUGGUGUUAGCUGUUGAAAAAAAGCUUAUCAAAAAAGCUAUUAUCUGUUCUAUCAGUGUAUAACCAAGUCGCAGCUAGGGUUAAAUUCUGGUGAACUUUCCUUAAAUUCCUAGGUUUUCCAGAAAUCCUGGUUGGAAGUUUCCUGGAAUCAGGAGCGAAUAAACAGGAAAUCCAGAAUCUUCCAACCAGGAUUUCUGAAAAACCUGGCCAAUCCUAUUCACAGCUAUUACCUUAUCACUGUUCAUCACAACAUUUCUCGUGAAUGUUCUUACAUGUACUCGGCCUCCAAGAGUGUUGAGUAAUCAAUGUUUUUUUAAUCCACCCAACAGAACUGUUUUCCCAGCCAGUUCUGACCAUGUAUCCGACAGAGGUGUUUGAAAGGGAGAAACUCAUGUUAACCUGCAAGAGUACCCACUACUCCUCUGACAGAAUCGGCGCUUCGCAUGUGAAAUACUCCAUUUACAAGGACAAUUACACACUGACGCCAGGCAGCUUCAAUGGGAUAUAUGUCGCCGUAGGGGUACGGAGCACGAAUGGGAAUUACUUAUGUAAAGCAGACGCCAGGAUGAUCUCCAAGUACAGUGCAAAGCUGCCUGUCCAAGCAAAAGGUACUACUACAGGCCAUAAGGCUUGUAUGUGUGACCCAAAGCCAUCUUCCCUAUCACCAUCCAGCACUACAGCGACACACAGGACUAUAAAUGCGAGGCACAGAACAACCCCAAAGUCGACGCGUUGGUCAGCAAAAAACAACACCAGUCAUAGUGCCUCUGUCCAAUCCAGGACUCAUCGUCACCCCAGACCUGUCGGGGGUCACAGAGGGAGAUGAGAUGUAUCUGAUCUGUGGGGUGGAAGGUUCCCCGCCUGUCACCUUUAAGUGGUACCAAAGUGGGAACGUCCAGCCGCUGUUCACCACCUCAACCCAAUCCAGCGCGUCACAACAGAUCAAGGGAGUGGGGAAUGAGCACAGUGGCACCUACUACUGCAAGGCCAUCAACUACGCUAGCAUGGUCCAGAGUCAGCCUGUUACCGUAGAUGUGAAGAUGGCAACGUGGAAGAAAUGUUUGAUCGUGGCCUGCUGUCUGCUAGUGGUGGCUGUCCUGGUCCUCGCCUGCGUGUUGCUCUACAAUUCCAAGAGAGGUAGAGAGACUUACAGUCCCCCAGCAACACAGGCCUUUGCUGGUGUCUGACUAUGUAUGAACAGCCUCUUCUCUCUCUCAUCCCCUUCUCUUUAUUGUAUAGGUAAAAGAGAGAACACAACUGAACUGUCAGUGUGAGUUGGCUUGCCUAUUUCCUAAGUAGUUUUCUGUGAUGGUUGCUAUCGAGGAUGAUAGCAUUAGCUGGCGCCAAUUGUUUUUGUUCAGUGCUGUCUUUGUCUUUGUCCUGUGUUCUCACCUCAUUGUGUCUGCCUGUCUGACUGCAUGUCUAUUGAAUGAUGGAACUAGCCCAUUUGUCUAAUAGUCUGUUUGUCCAAAAACAAUGUGUGCGUGUCUAAAUGCAUAGAUCUGAUUCUGUAUAUGCAGUACACUAGUCUAUCAUCAAUAGAAAUGUGUAUAUAUUUUUGGUUUGGUUAAUUGAUUGAUUUUAAAGAGGCACUUCUAGAAUAAAACUUUUUUUUAGCAAUG